GGUUUUGCUUCACAGAUUAUAAUUCUGAUGCAAGAGCCCUUAGCAGUAAAGAACUAGGAAUGAGCAUCAUCUCUACUAUGAAGUCAAUGGUUGUUACCACAUCUAACCUAGUUCCCUUGCCAAAGAACUUGCCCUCCCGUACAGAUGACUUCCGGUUAAACAUGAGAUCCAGACUUCCUGAGAAGAUGUGAAUUUACAAAAUCUCGGGCUGAGAACUUUCUUUUUGUCAUCUAGAAAGCAGAUUAUAUUUCAUGUUUCGCUCUGAUCAUCAGAAGCAGAACGAGAAAGAUGUUCAUGCAGAGGCGUGAGGUUCAGGGAAAAGUCUGGAUCCUUUUGGUGAACUGCCCCAGAUGUAAACAUGUUUUGGCGAAUGCUUUAUCGCUUAAUAUGUAAGUUGUUCUUUUGAAACAUUUGUAGUUAAUUGCAUGUUAAAGAAAAUAAACCAGUCUGAAGUGAGAA